rnacentral:rRNA from 1 species
UACGAAGGGUGCAAACGUUGCUCGGAAUUAUUGGGCGUAAAGCGCACGUAGGCGGCUUUCUAAGUCAGGGGUGAAAUCCUGGAGCUCAACUCCAGAACUGCCUUUGAUACUGGAGAGCUUGAGUCCGGAAGAGGUGAGUGGAACUCCGAGUGUAGAGGUGAAAUUCGUAGAUAUUCGGAAGAACACCAGUGGCGAAGGCGGCUCACUGGUCCGGUACUGACGCUGAGGUGCGAAAGCGUGGGGAGCAAACAGG